UACGUAGGGGGCAAGCGUUGUCCGGAAUUAUUGGGCGUAAAGGGCGCGCAGGCGGUUUGUUAAGUCUGAUGUGAAAGCCCACGGCUCAACCGUGGAGGGUCAUUGGAAACUGGGGAACUUGAGUGCAGAAGAGAAGAGCGGAAUUCCACGUGUAGCGGUGAAAUGCGUAGAGAUGUGGAGGAACACCAGUGGCGAAGGCGGCUCUUUGGUCUGUAACUGACGCUGAGGCGCGAAAGCGUGGGGAGCAAACAGG
rnacentral:rRNA from 1 species